rnacentral:misc_RNA from 1 species
UUUUCCGUUUUGGUUUUUUUCUUUUUUUUUUCCCCAAUUAAUUUAAUUGGGGGGGUUUUUCCCCCUUUGGGGGGCCACCCUAAAAAAAAAGGGGGGGGGGGGGGGGGGAACCCCCCGGGAAUUAUAAAGAGGGGUUUUUUUUUCCCUUUUUUUUCCCCCAUAAAGAAAAAACCCCCCUAAAAUAAUUUGGGGCCCCGGCCGGAGGCCCCGGGCGCCCCAAACACCAAGCCGAGGCUGAGGUAAAUACGUUGAAACCGCUGCCGCCGAAUACGCGCGCAAUGUUUAAAAGAUUGCUGAUUCAAUGAAUUCUGCAAUUCACAUUACUUAUCCAUUUCGUGCUUCUUUAUCGAUCCAGAACCAAAGAUCCGUGUUAAAGUUUGAUUAUUUUCUUUCAGGUUAGAGAUACUGAAAAAAUAAGAGUUUGAACCUCCGGCGGCUGCCCGCCGAAGCAACGACAGAGUUAUGUUCACAGGUUGGAGUUUUUCAACUCAGUAAUUCUCUUAGGGUGACUGCGGAGGGAUCAUUACUGAGUUGAAAAACUCCCAACCCCUGUGAACAUAACCUCUGUCGUUGCUUCGGCGGGCACGCCCGCCGGAGGUUCAAAACUCUUAUUUUUUCCAGUAUCUCUGAGCCUGAAAGACAAAUAAUCAAAACUUUCAACAACGGAUCUCUUGGUUCUGGCAUCGAUGAAGAACGCAGCGAAAUGCGAUAAGUAAUGUGAAUUGCAGAAUUCAGUGAAUCAUCGAAUCUUUGAACGCACAUUGCGCCCGCCCGUAUUCCGGCGGGCAUGCCUGUUCGAGCGUCAUUUCAACCCUCAAGCCUCGGCUUGGGUGUUGGGGCGCCCGGGCCCUCCGCGGCCCGGGGCCCCCGAAGUUUCGUUCGGCGGGCUCGUCGGUCCUCUGAGCGCGGUAAAACGCGGUAAAACGCGAACCUCGUUUCGGAUUCGUCCCCGGGCGUGCUCUCAGCUCGCGUAAACCCCCCUAUUUUUGAAAAGGUUGCCCUCGGGAUCCAGUUAGGAUACCCCACGGUU